rnacentral:rRNA from 1 species
GUGCCAGCAGCCGCGGUAAUACAGAGGUCCCAAGCGUUGUUCGGAUUCACUGGGCGUAAAGGGUGCGUAGGUGGUCGGGUAAGUUUAAGGUGAAAGCUCCGGGCUCAACCCGGAAAUGGCCUUGAAUACUAUCCGGCUCGAGGGUUGGAGGGGGGACUGGAAUUCUCGGUGUAGCAGUGAAAUGCGUAGAUAUCGAGAGGAACACCAGUGGCGAAGGCGAGUCCCUGGACAACACCUGACACUGAGGCACGAAAGCUAGGGGAGCAAACGGGAUUAGAUACCCCGGUAGUCC